rnacentral:rRNA from 1 species
UACAGAGGUCCCAAGCGUUGUUCGGAUUCAUUGGGCGUAAAGGGUGCGUAGGCGGCGCGGUAAGUCGGGUGUGAAAUCUCGGAGCUUAACUCCGAAACUGCAUUCGAUACUGCCGUGCUUGAGGACUGGAGAGGAGACUGGAAUUUACGGUGUAGCGGUGAAAUGCGUAGAUAUCGUAAGGAAGACCAGUGGCGAAGGCGGGUCUCUGGACAGUUCCUGACGCUGAGGCACGAAGGCCAGGGGAGCAAACAGG